AGGACAAACGCUGGCGGAAUGUAUUAGGCAUACAAGUCGUACGGACCUUCGGGUUAGUGGCGAACGGGUGAGUAACACGUGGGUAACCUGCCUCGUAGUGGGGAAUAACUCGCCGAAAGGCGUGCUAAUACCGCAUAACACCUCUGGUGAGAUUCCAGAUGGUAAAAGCUCCGGCGCUACGAGAGGGGCCCGCGGUCGAUUAGCUAGUUGGUGGGGUAACGGCCUACCAAGGCGACGAUCGAUAGCUGGUCUGAGAGGAUGGUCAGCCACACGGGGACUGAGAUACGGCCCCGACUCCUACGGGAGGCAGCAGCUAAGAAUCUUGCGCAAGUGGGCGAAAGCCUGACGCAGCAAUUCGCGUGGGGACGAAGGCCCUCGGGUCGUAAACCCCUUUGCGAGGAAGAAGUACUGACGGUACCUCGCGAAUAAGACACGCUAACUACGUGCCAGCAGCCGC
rnacentral:rRNA from 1 species